rnacentral:rRNA from 1 species
UACGUAGGGUGCGAGCGUUAAUCGGAAUUACUGGGCGUAAAGCGUGCGCAGGCGGUUUUGUAAGCCAGAUGUGAAAUCCCCGGGCUUAACCUGGGAAUGGCAUUUGGGACUGCAAGGCUGGAGUGCGGCAGAGGGGGAUGGGAAUUCCGCGUGUAGCAGUGAAAUGCGUAGAUAUGCGGAGGAACACCGAUGGCGAAGGCAAUCCCCUGGGCCUGCACUGACGCUCAUGCACGAAAGCGUGGGGAGCAAACAGG